UUUGAUUGUGAGUUGAGUUGAGU
rnacentral:siRNA from 1 species